GGAACCUCAACGUGUGGCAGGAAGACUAAAAUCACGGCCAGCCUCUCUGAUGUGGCUGCAAUCUUCAUCCUUUUGAUGGGUGGUGCAGCAUUUAGCUGUCUGCUGCUGCUGCUGGAGUAUGCGGUACAACAUGCAAGACAGAAGUGGUGGAUGAUGAGUUCCUGGGGAUUGCUGACCUGAAAGGAAGAACAGACAAUAACAAGAGACAAGAGACAAGAGACCUACACUGUUAAAGCCUUAAGCAUUCUAAUCACAUUCCAUGUAACUCUCUUCACUCUUAGAUCCCUUAUGGGGUAUUCUUAUGUAUAGUUGCUCACAAAUAUGGAGUUUAAUUAUAAC